CCUCCGGGAGGCAGCAGUGGGGAAUUUUGGACAAUGGGGGCAACCCUGAUCCAGCCAUGCCGCGUGAGUGAAGAAGGCCUUCGGGUUGUAAAGCUCUUUCGGCGGGGAAGAAAUGGCAACGGCUAAUAUCCGUUGUUGAUGACGGUACCCGCAUAAGAAGCACCGGCUAACUACGUGCCAGCAGCCGCGGUAAUACGUAGGGAGCGAGCGGGCGUCGGGAUUACGGGGCGGAAAUCGUACGACGGCCGUGAAAUCCCCGGGCUCAACCUGGGAACUGCGUUUGUGACUGCGAGGCUAGAGUACGGCAGAGGGGGGUAGAAUUCCACGUGUAGCAGUGAAAUGCGUAGAGAUGUGGAGGAAUACCGAUGGCGAAGGCAGCCCCCUGGGUUAGUACUGACGCUCAUGCACGAAAGCGUGGGGAGCAAACAGGAUUAGAUACCCUUGUAGUC
rnacentral:rRNA from 1 species